ensembl:lncRNA
GAGGGAGAGAACGAGGGAGAGAACGAGGGAGAGAGAAUGAGGGAGAGAACGAGAGAGAGAACGAGGGGAGAGAGGAAAGCUGGUAAAAAAUUGUGAGCAACAGAGAUGUUUCAAACGCUUGGGUAAUCAUCAAGUUACACACACACACACACACACACACACACACACACACACACCUCACGUAUUGGCUGCAGGGGCCCCAGCUGUCUGCCCUGUAUAAAUAGCGUGAGGCUUCCCCCCUAUUCACCCCUCACCCCUGGGGAGAGAGCGACGACCUCACUGGAGAGAGGGGGAGGAGGGGGGGUCAUGGCGACACAUUGGGACGGAAAAAUUACACAAAAUAUUCCUUUUAUUUAUUUUCCAACACACAUAUGGGGCCCCAGAUGCCAUGAUGCCAUGUGACGGACAUGCACGUGUCACCAGAAGCAAGAGGAAGAAAGGAUGAUGAUGGUGAUGAUGAAGGUGAUGAUGUUGUUGAUGAGGAUGAUGGCGAUGAUUGAGUAUAAUCGACCCAACAGACUUUGAUCCACCGAGAUAUCCACCUCGGUUGUGAUGUAUGUGAUUUGUGUGUUUGAGUUUAGGGUGGAGGCAUUUGAUUUGUGCCGAUUCAGUAAAGGCAAUUUCUUUGUUUACGUGGAAAUUGCUAAUCAUGAGGACGCCAUGAUAAAGAUCUAUAUCGGAAGUAGCUUAUGGAUAUCGGUAACGGACUAAAUAUAUAACAAUAUGGUACGUAUGUCAACACAUGGAGGAGGAAAUGGUAUCGCGGGACGUCAAUCUUUCUGGAACAUUAAAAACGCAUCUCUAACGUGAGAGUGAAGUAUAAGAUGAUGAGCCCUUUCUGCCGCCAUUAAUUAAGUCAUCUGAAUCCAAUCAAAGUAGGACACAUCUUACUUUGUGGAUCUAAGCAUGUUUAGGAUGAGGAAGAUGAGGAAGAGAGUAAGCGAGAUAUUGAUUGAGUAAGGGAGAGAGAAAUAAGAGUGAUAAAUAACGCAUGGGGCGGUUUGUGGCUAAGCGAAAGGAGAUCCUGAGAAGCACAGACCCCCCCUCGUCCCAGGCCUAUAGCUGCUUUUCAACACACACACACACACACACACACACACACACACACACACACACACACACACACAGACUCUGUAGUGUGCCCUGUAGUCUGUGAAAUGAUGAACAGAGGUAAGGCCAUUGUGUCGCCGUAACAACAGGCCUCCUAAAUCUCUCCAUUGCGUGUUAGUGUUUUUUGAUCUUCAACUAUUUCCAAAUCAGUUCGCCUCAAAAGGCCCUUUCACCCCAUAUGUAGCAGUGUCUGUCUGUCUGUCUGUCUGUCUGUCUGUCUGUCUGUCUGUCUGUCUGUCUGUCUGUCUGUCUGUCUGUCUGUCGGUCGUCCUCUUUUCCAUUUCCUUCAGAGAAAGGGACAAUGGAUAUAAUACCUAAAAAUCAAGAGAGAACUCGAGAGGAAGAAUGAAAGAAAAAUAGGAUGGAAGAAAUGAAGGAAAAUAAAGAAAGAAAGAAAGAAAGAAAGAAAGAAAGAAAGAAAGAAAGAAAGAAAGAAAGAAAGAAAGAAAAAAAGAAAAGAGGAUUGAUGGAGUGGAACCUGUUGUUUGUUCUGUGUGUUUGUCCGUGCGUCCGUCACAACCUUUUACUUGGAAACAAGCUUCUACUGAGGGUCAGUGUUCAAGGCCCUGGCAAGGGAGGCCUUGGUGGAGGCCUGGGUGGAGGCGGGUGGAGGUGGGAGUAGAGCUGUGGGUGGAGCCGUUGGUGGAGGCGAAGGGGUGAGUGGAGCUGUGGGUGGAGGCAUGGAAUGAGGCAAGGGUGGAGGUGUGAGUGGAGCCAUGGGUAUAGGCCUGAUUGGAGGUGUGGAUGGAGGCCCAAAUUGCGGUUUGGGUGAAGGCAUUGAUGGAGGCAAAGGAGAAGGUGUGGACAACAACGAGUCUAUGAGGCGCCAGCAGCCAAUGCGGAAGAAGAGAGAGUGAAUGUGAAUUACAAUGUGUGCAUGGCUUCUGGACGUCCUUUGACCCCGCCCCCGUUUAAGGGCAACGCUCUCUUUGAUGUCUGCCAUCCGCUCCGGGUCAGUGGUCAGAAGCCUCCCCCCCUCUCUCCCUCUGUUUGGACCCCGCAUCUCUCCCUCCCCCCGGCCAACGGCAAUCGGCACAGUUACUGAGUACCACUGAACUCUACUGGCAAUAUGUUCCUUACAUAAGCACACCACACACUUACACACACACACACAGAGAGAGAAAAAGAGAGAAAGUGCUCCCUUCCACCGAUUGACCGCAAAUCAUGAACCACGGACAGAUGGCUGAACAUAAAUGAUAACAACAUCACUUAGUGGUUGAAAGGCAUCAACAGGAACAAAUGAUCUUAAGCCAAACAUUCCCAACCCAUAUCAUGCGGCGAAAAUCAGACAAAGGGAACUUUCACACACACACACACACACACACACACACACACACACACACACACACACACACACACACACACACACACACACACACACACACACACACACACACACACACACACACACACACACACACACACAAACACACACCAUGUAAAAAGGGUGCAUGGGGUUGGCGCUAAAUUUGACAACCCAGGGCCCAAAAAAAUCACAAUUACUAUGAUGAUAUUUGUAUGUGUUUAUUUGUCGGUGUAAAUUAUGUUAAUGAUAUUAAUUGUGUUUAUGGAUGCAUUGACAUUUAGAUAUGUUUGGGUUCGCACAGAAACAUUUACACACCCCAACCACACACACACACACACACACACAGACACACACACACACACACACACACCCCCCCGCCCCCCACACCGACCCACACUCUGGGGUCACAGCAGCUUAAGAACCCCACAUUCCUGAAUAACAAGGAACCCCCGCUGGAACACCUUUCGUUCUCCUAGUUUCAUGUCUGGAACCUUGUGUGUUCUGCGGCGGUUGGGGAAUCACUACCCUAUCGUAGCAAAAACAAUUAGGUAAAAAGAUAGUGGUGGUAGUGUUGGAGACAGGCAAAGGCACUGCUUUGAAAUGGAUAUUUUAGAGUUGGGAGUUGCAUCAUGGGGUAGUUUUAGUUUCAGGACACUUGAGAGAGAAAAUUAUGGAAGUGACCGGGACUGGAAAUGGCUGGUAGAGAUUGUAGUGUAGCACCACAACUUUGGGACAUGAGUUUAUGAUAUGAGAUUAAAAAAAAGAUGCUAGCACUGACUCCAGUAAAAAGUAAAGCAAAAUAGAAAAAAUAUAUAUUUUCUCCACUAUUUUGCCCGGUUGUGGGGGGACAAAGGGGGGAGGGGGCCCAAGACGCCUGGGUCUUAGAGGUGGACAAAAGACUGCGGUGAGUCCCCUGAACUACGGACCAGUCGGUCCCCUCCCCUUCCUGGGUCCUCCUUACCCCCCCCACUAAUGGACCAUGAAGUCCUCGACCGGACACAAAUUGAGACUGGGCGCAGUGCGGUUUAUACAAUAACAAUAAAUGAGAGAGAGAGAGAGAGAGAGAGAGAGAGAGAG